rnacentral:rRNA from 1 species
UACGGGGGGGGCAAGCGUUGUUCGGAAUUACUGGGCGUAAAGGGCUCGUAGGCGGCCAACUAAGUCGGAUGUGAAAUCCCCAGGCUCAACCUGGGAACUGCAUCCGAUACUGGAUGGCUUGAAUCCGGGAGAGGGAUGCAGAAUUCCAGGUGUAGCGGUGAAAUGCGUAGAUAUCGGGAGGAACAUCAGUGGCGAAGGCGGCCCUCUGGUCCAGUACUGACACUCAAGUGCGAAAGCGUGGGGAGGCAAACAGG